UCCUUCCUCCUCUCCUCCUCUUCCUUCUCCCCUCGGCGGCAGCAGCCGUGCCCCCCCCGGCGGGCAUGGUGGUGGCCGAGCCCGAGGAUGACCCCCCGAUCAUUUAUUUCCGGGCACUGGUGAACUUCACCCACAGCAUCGACUUCAGCCCCCGCCUGGAGGACCCCACCUCAGAGGAGUUCCAUGAGGUGUCCCAGGCUGUGGUGGACACGCUGGAGUCAGAGUAUUACAAGAUCCCUGGGGAGCAGAUGGUCAGCGUGGUGUUCAUCAAGUGAGUGGGUCAUAGGGGGGGCUUGGGGGAGGGG